UACGUAGGGUGCAAGCGUUGUCCGGAAUUAUUGGGCGUAAAGAGCUCGUAGGCGGUUUGUCGCGUCGGCUGUGAAAACCUGGGGCUCAACCCCGGGCCUGCAGCCGAUACGGGCAAACUAGAAUUCGGUAGGGGAGACUGGAAUUCCUGGUGUAGCGGUGAAAUGCGCAGAUAUCAGGAGGAACACCGGUGGCGAAGGCGGUUCUCUGGGCAUUACCUGACGCUGAGGAGCGAAAGUGUGGGGAGCGAACAGG
rnacentral:rRNA from 1 species